rnacentral:rRNA from 1 species
AUUGAACGCUGGCGGCAUGCUUUACACAUGCAAGUCGAACGGCAGCGCGGGCUUCGGCCUGGCGGCGAGUGGCGAACGGGUGAGUAAUACAUCGGAACGUGCCCAGUAGUGGGGGAUAGCUCGGCGAAAGCCGGAUUAAUACCGCAUACGACCUGAGGGUGAAAGCGGGGGAUCUUCGGACCUCGCGCUAUUUGAGCGGCCGAUGGCAGAUUAGCUAGUUGGUGGGGUAAAGGCCUACCAAGGCGACGAUCUGUAGCUGGUCUGAGAGGACGACCAGCCACACUGGGACUGAGACACGGCCCAGACUCCUACGGGAGGCAGCAGUGGGGAAUUUUGGACAAUGGGCGAAAGCCUGAUCCAGCAAUGCCGCGUAUGUGAUGAAGGCCUUCGGGUUGUAAAGCACUUUUGGCGGGAACGAAAAGGACUGUGCCAAUACCACGGUUCGAUGACGGUACCCGCAGAAUAAGCACCGGCUAACUACGUG